rnacentral:rRNA from 1 species
UACGUAGGGUGCAAGCGUUGUCCGGAAUUACUGGGCGUAAAGCGCGCGUAGGUGGUUUGUUAAGUUGGAUGUGAAAUCCCCGGGCUCAACCUGGGAACUGCAUCCAAAACUGGCAAGCUAGAGUAGGGCAGAGGGUGGUGGAAUUUCCUGUGUAGCGGUGAAAUGCGUAGAUAUAGGAAGGAACACCAGUGGCGAAGGCGACCACCUGGGCUCAUACUGACACUGAGGUGCGAAAGCGUGGGGAGCAAACAGG